AUCCUUCUGGUUCAUGCAUAUGAUGAAUGGGGUUUCACGCGCCUGCGUGAGAUGUACCGACCUUGCUUUUCUUGUUACGCACGAGGUACAUGACCCGUCUGAUU
rnacentral:snoRNA from 1 species